CCCCGCGCGCGCCGCCAACGGCCCCUCUGGUCGUGACCGGCCGCCGGCCCCCCAGUGGGCUGCGCUGGGGCCUGUGUCCCCUUGAGCUCCGACUCCGCCCCCGCCGCAGCCAGGCCGGCCGCCAGCGCUGGGCCGGGUGCUCCUGGAGAGCAGGAGGCAGGCCAGUCCCCGCGCAAGCCCCCAGCCCUCUGUCUGGACCCCAGGGCCCGGCUGGGUGAGUCGCUGGACGCCGACUCGGCAGGGAGAAGGGGAGGCCACCACGUCCCCGCGCCCUCUGCCCACGUUGCUUGUCUUUCUGACAGCACCCCAAGACUGAGGUCCGGCCUGUCCGCGCGGGCAGGCCUGGCUGGUGGCCGAGGGUCAGAGGGAGCCGCGGAGAAGGGCGCCCAGCACCCCUAUGGGCGAGAGUUGGGGGGCAGUUACUGUUAAUAGUGAGCCCUCUCGUCACUCAGUGAUGUCACCCCACUUUGUAGAUGAGCAGCGGUCCCAGCACUCAAGGUCAUUCAAGUCUAAGAGACCAAGUCCAGCCGUGACUGGGGCGGUCAGAAUCAUGGCUCCUCACGUUCACUGAGCCCACUCAGGGGACCUCCUGAGUCCAAGCACUUUGGGUGUCUUCCUCUCCCUGCUUUAACCCCAGCACCCUCUCCCAAGGUCAGAGUCACUGAUCCCGUUUUCAGUGGAGGAGACUGAGGCUCAGAGAGUCACCGCGUGAGCUGGCCUGUCACGGGCUGUGACGUGGCCCCGCUGUGGGUUUGAGUCCAGGCCAGCCUGGCCCCAAAGGCUGUCCUUGCACAGGAGCCUGAGGCUCUGAGUCCGGCCUUGGAGGCUGACAUGGAUGCAGGGCGUCCUUCACCUGCUGGUUGGAGAGCAGCGAGAAGCUGACGUGGCAGACCCUGAGACCCAGCCCUCAUGUGUCCAAGGCUGCCAAGGGCGUGUGGAGCUGAAGACGAGGGCUGCUGGAGGCCGAGGGCCGUGGGGAUGCUGAGGACGGAACGUCUACUCCUGGCCCCCGAGGAGUGGAGGAUCAGCAGCGCCCAGACUCCGCAGGGCGCCCCGUGCCAGCGUCCACCUCCAGGGGCUUCUAGGAGCUGGGGCGUCUUGGUCCCCUCUGGGUAUGGAGGGAGUGAAGUACGCUGGAACUGGGAGGGGCUGUCCCAGAGAAGGGGUGGGGCAGUCAUCUCCUCCCCCUGGCCACGAGGGGGGCCAAGCUCAUGUUGGAAAAGCUCAUGUUGAUCCUCUCCGCUUGGGCCUGGAGUGCGCACCGAACAGAAUCCAACAGAACUGGGAACCCUGUAACCAGGCGCCUCAUCCUAAAGAAGCCGCUGCCCAGCUGGCCUGGCCGGAGCCCUCAGUGAGCAGCGUGUCCUGUGCGUCCUGAGGUCCCGAGGCCGCAGCCACAGACAUUGUCUGGUCAUUUGCCCGGAAGAACCAAAGGUGACACGGGGAGGCCCAGGGCAGCCCAGUCCCGACCCAGCCACCUCUGGGGUCCCACGCGGGAGCCCUGCGUCCCCUCCCCGUGUGUGUGGGAGGGGGGGCUCAUGUCGGGUAGGCCUGCCCCGAGCGGGAGCAGGCUGAGGGGUCAGAGGGCUGGCUAUGUUAACCCCCAGGUGAAGAUAGCAGGAGGGAGUGGGGGACCUGGGGACCCUCUUGGCCGAGGUUUGUCCCCAGUCCUGGGGGUGGAUCUCACUUCUUCCCGGGACAGGUCUGUGCACGAUCUGGGAGCAGAAGGUCCAGAGGCGGGAAAAGCAUCAUCCUCGUGUGGGCAGGACUCUGGGUCCUCAGGCCGCCGGCCCGAGGGGGUGGAGGACCAGGGCACCCCGUCCAUCCCUGAGUGAGGGGCGUCCAUGUGGGCGGCACGGGCUUGGGGAUGCACCGGGGCAGGAAGGGGUCUCAAGGAGGGCCGAGGUGGCUGGGAACACCCACCUGCACCUGCCUCCUGCAGGGGACCCAGGGCAGCGGGGACUCGCCUUCCUGUGACUGCCGGCAGCACCGGAUCCUGACCCGGGACCCUUCCACCUGCUCCCCCGCCUAGAGCUUGCCUUCCCCCUCCCUGAUAUUUCUGUUUCUAAUUUCUGCUUUCCAUUUCUUACCUUUUAGCUGAGGCCUUGCUGUCACAGCGUUUAAUUCUUUAUGCAUUACAUCGCGCACUUCCUGAGCAUGGAGUGCGCUCAGGGUGCUGAGCGGCCCUCCCCGCGGCUUCACUCCAGAGGAAACCCUGACCCCAGGGCUUGCUCCCUGGCCGCACUCACCUUCCCAGAUGGACCGCCUCCCUCGGCGGAUCUGCUUCUGACCUAAAGGAACAAAAGGCCUCGCCCCCCGCCCCCUCCCCCGGCCCUUGGCAGCCCGGAAUCUGCUUUCUGUGUCUCGUCUGCCUGCUCUGGGUGCUUCCUAUAAACGGAACCAACUUACAGGCGUCUCUUUGAUGUAGCCCAGAUAUGUUAAGUGGGGAGUGGUUAAUUUUUUUAAAAUUUGAAGUAGCAUUCUUGUUAAAGGGAAAUUCUAGGUGAAUUAAAAAUAUGAUGUAAAAAUUGAA